CCCGGUUGGAGCACUCUCCAGUACCCCUCCCAGGGCCUCCAAGAAGACCGGGUACUCUACACUGCUGUUCGGCCCGUAAGCCGAAACAACAGCACGUAAGGUACCGUCUACACGUAUCAACUAGCUUAUGUUCAAACACGGUGUUAGUAAGGUUAGUUGUAGGUUGUGAUUUGAUGCGGUUGGAGGAUCUCAUUUUAAGAGGUGUCUUGUCCACUAACCAGGAAAUCCAUUGUUCACACUGUCAUACAGCCUUAAGUGAAACAUGCAAUAUUCCUCAUUUGCCCCUCAUAUUCUUUAUUCACAUUAUUUAUUAAAAGUCUGUUUUCCCCCCAACAGCUUCCUCGUCACGUGACCCACUGAUGCCAAAUCAAAUGCUGUAAUGUUUUCCUCCUCUGGUUGAAUGAGACACACAUCUGUUCAUUGGAUUUUAGUGCUCCUCACGUUUUAUAUCAAACAUUCUUUAAAUGAAAAUCGAUAUUGUCAUGUGACCUAAUGGACUUCCUGUUGCACAGUGUGGUGCAGAAGGCCAGAGUGUUACGUCACCCCCAACAUGUUAAUGGCAGUUAUCUUGUGACGUCAUGAGUUACUUUUAAAAGUCACGUUACUCAGCAUCACGUUGUUUCUGCGGUUAUGGUUGAAAGUAAACAAAAUGGCUGACUCGAAAUGUUUCACGCGGGAGCUCCAUCUUUUAAAACAUUCUGGAGGCAAAGUGUCAAACUGAACCGAGUGUGAAGCAGAGCCUCCCUGGAUAUCAAAGAGGACGGAUGGUAGUAAGUCCACAAAUCUGAUUCAUGAUGAUUCAACAUACAUGAUCACGCAUCUUUUCUUACUUGAUGUGAUGAGCGUGUUUAUUUGGAACCAGAGCAGGAACGUCAGAUCUAAUCACAGCUGGUGCACUCAUGAUCGGAUCAUUCAACAGAUG